AUCUUCCGCAAUGGACGAAAGUCUGACGGAGCGAUGCCGCGUGAGUGAUGAAGGUCUUCGGAUCGUAAAACUCUGUUGUUAUGGAAGAACAAGUAUCGGAGUAAUAUGCCGGUACCUUGACGGUCCCUAACCAAAAAACCCCGGCUAACUACGUGCCCGCAGCCGCGGUAAUACGUAGGGCGCAAGCGCUGUCAGGAAUUAUUGGGCGUAAAGGGCACGCAGGAGGUUAUUUAAGUCUGAUGAGAAAUCUUGUGGCUUAACCACAAGCGGGCAUUGGAAACUGGAUAACUUGAGUACAGAAGAGGAGAGUGGAAUUCCACGUGUAGCGGUGAAAUGCGUAGAGACGUGGAGGAACAACAGUGGCGAAGGCGGCUCUCUGGUCUGUAACUGACGCUGAGGUGCGAAAGCGUGGGUAGCGAACA
rnacentral:rRNA from 1 species